rnacentral:rRNA from 1 species
UGAGGAAUAUUGGUCAAUGGGCUUACGCCUGAACCAGCCAAGUCGCGUGAGGGAAGACUGCCCUAUGGGUUGUAAACCUCUUUUGUCAGGGAGCAACAACAUCUACGA